rnacentral:rRNA from 1 species
UACGUAGGGGGGCAAGCGUUGUCCGGAAUUACUGGGCGUAAAGAGCUCGUAGGCGGUUUGUCGCGUCUGCCGUGAAAGUCCCGGGGCUCAACUCCGGAUCUGCGGUGGGUACGGGGCAGACUAGAGUGAUGUAGGGGGAGACUGGAAUUCCUGGUGUAGCGGUGAAAUGCGCAGAUAUCAGGAGGAACACCGAUGGCGAAGGCAGGUCUCUGGGCAUUAACUGACGCUGAGGAGCGAAAGCAUGGGGAGCGAACAGG